CUUGCUGGGUGGAUUAGUGGCGAACGGGUGAGUAACACGUGAGUAACCUGCCCUUGACUCUGGGAUAAGCGCUGGAAACGGCGUCUAAUACCGGAUACGACCUGCCCCGGCAUCGGGUGCGGGUGGAAAGUUUUUCGGUCAAGGAUGGACUCGCGGCCUAUCAGCUUGUUGGUGAGGUAAUGGCUCACCAAGGCGACGACGGGUAGCCGGCCUGAGAGGGUGACCGGCCACACUGGGACUGAGACACGGCCCAGACUCCUACGGGAGGCAGCAGUGGGGAAUAUUGCACAAUGGGCGAAAGCCUGAUGCAGCAACGCCGCGUGGGGGAUGACGGCCUUCGGGUUGUAAACCUCUUUUAGUAGGGAAGAAGGGCUUCGGCUUGACGGUACCUGCAGAAAAAGCACCGGCUAACUACGUGCCAGCAGCCGCGGUAAUACGUAGGGUGCAAGCGUUGUCCGGAAUUAUUGGGCGUAAAGAGCUCGUAGGCGGUUUGUCGCGUCUGCUGUGAAAACCCGAGGCUCAACCUCGGGCCUGCAGUGGGUACGGGCAGACUAGAGUGCGGUAGGGGAGAAUGGAAUUCCUGGUGUAGCGGUGGAAUGCGCAGAUAUCAGGAGGAACACCGAUGGCGAAGGCAGUUCUCUGGGCCGUUACUGACGCUGAGGAGCGAAAGCGUGGGGAGCGAACAGGAUUAGAUACCCUGGUAGUCCACGCCGUAAACGUUGGGAACUAGAUGUGGGGACCUUUCCACGGUCUCCGUGUCGCAGCUAACGCAUUAAGUUCCCCGCCUGGGGAGUACGGCCGCAAGGCUAAAACUCAAAGGAAUUGACGGGGGCCCGCACAAGCGGCGGAGCAUGCGGAUUAAUUCGAUGCAACGCGAAGAACCUUACCAAGGCUUGACAUAUACCGGAAACUUCCAGAAAUGGUUGCCCCGCAAGGUCGGUAUACAGGUGGUGCAUGGUUGUCGUCAGCUCGUGUCGUGAGAUGUUGGGUUAAGUCCCGCAACGAGCGCAACCCUCGUUCUAUGUUGCCAGCACGUCAUGGUGGGAACUCAUAGGAGACUGCCGGGGUCAACUCGGAGGAAGGUGGGGAUGACGUCAAAUCAUCAUGCCCCUUAUGUCUUGGGCUUCACGCAUGCUACAAUGGCCGGUACAAAGGGCUGCGAUACCGUAAGGUGGAGCGAAUCCCAAAAAGCCGGUCUCAGUUCGGAUUGAGGUCUGCAACUCGACCUCAUGAAGUCGGAGUCGCUAGUAAUCGCAGAUCAGCAACGCUGCGGUGAAUACGUUCCCGGGCCUUGUACACACCGCCCGUCAAGUCAUGAAAGUCGGUAACACCCGAAGC
rnacentral:rRNA from 1 species